GCAUUUACAUGCCAAAAAAGUCUCCAAAAUUAUAUAUCCUGUCUCAUUUCCCAUGCAGGUUUUCAUAUUGCUUGUAGAUUAAACAAUACUCAAUGGUUCUUUAAGUGUUUACUGGGAGAAGAGAAAGUAGAAAGCACAUAAGAUUCAACUACACCUGACCUCUGCCCCGGAGCUGAUACAUUAGGAGGAUAAAAAAGGAACAUAUAUUUCAAUCAAGAUAUAUUUAGCAGAGAAAUAACUGGACUUUACUUAGGUCUUUUUAAACGUGAUUGGAAUGACUAUCUCAACUAUUCAACCCAUAACACUGAUGUAUCUCAAGGGGAAAAAAAACGGAGGUUUCAGUUCCGUAUGUCUCAGGCUCCAGUCUCUAGAGUUCUUCUGUAGGCUAACUAACAAGGAACAAACUGCUGCUGUGGGAGGAGAACAGAAAUCAUGAAUCAGUCAGUACUACACUGAGAAGGCCUCCAUUCAACAUGGGAUGGGUUGUUUUGCAAACAGACAGAAUGUGGUAGAAUGUGGUCUAAGUUAAGGGCACUGGAAAAAAGCAUCUUUAUGUAUCAAUAAAUCUUUAGUAGGACAUGGAAUCCGUAAUUAUUCUGAGCUCAUCAACUUGAUUGUCUCUUUUUUUUUUUUUUUAAUUGCUUUUCAGGUCUUCUGGCUUUAUUUCUUGCACAAAUGUUUCCUUACAUCAUUUCAUUUAAGAAAGGAAAGUGAUUACCAAAAUUUUACAAAAAUCCAGAAAAUUCCAAGAGAUAGAAAAAUACUGUUCUAACAGAAGGUCAAAAUAGAUACAUCGUAAAUACUCUCAAGAACUGAGACAGUGAGGCUUUGAAAUAUUCUAUCUUAUGCUCUAAUUAAAUCUGCUUAAUGAGCAGUGAAUGGGGGAACAUAAGCAGAAAAUAAAGACCCAAAGGAUAGAUCAUUAGGUAAGAAAAGAAACAAGGUCAGUGUUCGUGCUCUGUCAAUAUGUUUAUCCUGUCUACAGUGUUUUGACUGUGAAUCCCUAGCAUGCAGUGUAGUUACAGAGCACCUUAAGACCACAAACACUUAUGAAUCAAUGGCCUCACCUAUAAAACAGUCUCACAUAUAAACAGUCUCACUGAAUAUCACUUUUCCACUCAGGUAGGAUUGCUGCAGGGCAUGACUCUUCCAAAACAGGCUGUGAGAUCAGAAGCUCCUCUGAGAACAUAAGCAGUGAGAGGUUAUGCCCACCUGAACACAAGAGCCAGCUCACUCCUUCCAAAGUCAGAGCCAAAAAAACCACACAUUUCUCUUAAUUUCACUGGAUAAUUAACUGUGAAAGUGGAAGGAAAUUGUGGUGGAAGAGUCAACGGAAAUUCUAAUUUUUUGAGACUAGGGUGAAACAGAGCAGCACUGCCCGAUUCUACUGCCAACUUGAGGCAAGGUUUAGAGGUAUCAGUUCUCUUCAUGAAGUUGAGGUGGUCCUGAGAGCCUAGAAGUGGGCAGUCAGCCCCAUGAUAGCAGCUCACUGCUGCUCCCCUUCUUGGCAGCACUGCUACCAGAGAACUGGUAGCAGGCCCUAAGCUGCCCUGGUAGAGCUGCACCACACGGUGACAAAGAAGGGGUCCUGGGUGUACCAUGGGCUUGGGCAGACUCUUUUAACACAAAGACUUCUGUGAAAUGCAGAAAUCUGAAGAUUGUAUUGAGUUUAUCUCCCUCAGUUAAAUUCUCACAUGGGAUGUAUAGAUUAAAAAGGAGCAUUAAUUAAGUGAUGAUGUUUAUUAUGUACUCCCAAAAGGAAAAUACUACUUGAUACACUCCUUGGAUCCUCAUUCUAUUCAGUAUGUCUCAUUUACUGUUGUGUCACCAGUAAGGGAUUUUUAUCUCCAGAGCCUUAAAGCAACAACAGAGCUCUGUACAUGGCAUACAGUACUGACCUCAGUGAUUAUGAGUGGCAUGCUACUCAAACAAUGACAUCCUCAUUUCACCCCAUCUCUCCACUCUCCAACCUGCAUUCCUCACUUCUGUCCUAUACACACUCAUGUCAAUAGAAGUCACACUUCCAAGGAAGAGAAUGGGUCUCGAUCCUCAUUGUCAUGCUGUAAAAAUCAUAUGCAUGUUCUCAUACAUUUUCUCUCUUUAAAAUGUGAAUGAAAAGUGAUCUAUGAACUUAAGA